rnacentral:rRNA from 1 species
CUCGGAAACGGACGCUAAUACCGCAUACGUCCUACGGGAGAAAGCAGGGGACCUUCGGGCCUUGCGCUAUCAGAUGAGCCUAGGUCGGAUUAGCUAGUUGGUGAGGUAAUGGCUCACCAAGGCGACGAUCCGUAACUGGUCUGAGAGGAUGAUCAGUCACACUGGAACUGAGACACGGUCCAGACUCCUACGGGAGGCAGCAGUGGGGAAUAUUGGACAAUGGGCGAAAGCCUGAUCCAGCCAUGCCGCGUGUGUGAAGAAGGUCUUCCGAUUGUAAAGCACUUUAAGUUGGGAGGAAGGGCAGUAAA